rnacentral:rRNA from 1 species
CCUACGGGUGACAGCAGUGGGGAAUAUUGCACAAUGGGGGGAACCCUGAUGCAGCGACGCCGCGUGAGUGAAGAAGUAUUUCGGUAUGUAAAGCUCUAUCAGCAGGGAAGAAAAUGAAGGUACCUGACUAAGACGCCCCGGCUAACUAAGUGCCAGCAGCGGCGGUAAUACGUAGGGUGCAAGCGUUAUCCGGAUUUACUGGGUGUAAAGGGAGAGUAGACGGCAGAGCAAGUCUGAAGUGAAAGCCCGCGGCCCAACUGCGGGACUGCUUUUGAAACUGCCCGGCUAGAGUGCUGGUGUGGUAGGCGGAAUUCCUGGUGUAGCGGUGAAAUGCGUAGAUAUUAGGAGGAACACCAGUGGCGAAGGCAGCUUACUAGAC